GGGGGUUUAGCUCAGCGGCAAAAGUGCCUGCUUUGCAAGCAGGCUUUUGUGAGUUCAAUCCCUG
rfam:Cavia porcellus supercont2_16 genomic scaffold, whole genome shotgun sequence.